GUUCCCGUGGCUUAUCUGUUAGAGCGUCCGCCUUGGAUGCGGAAGGUUGUGGGUUUGAUCCCUGAUCGAGUCAUACCAAAAACU